ACUCCUACGGGAGGCAGCAGUAGGGAAUCUUCCGCAAUGGGCGAAAGCCUGACGGAGCAACGCCGCGUGAGUGAUGAAGGUCCUAGGAUCGUAAAACUCUGUUAUUAGGGAAGAACAAGGAUGUAAGUAACUGGCACCCCUGACGGACCUAAUCAGAAAGCCAC
rnacentral:rRNA from 1 species